UUUUUUUUUGUUUUACAACGGGUCGCUCAUUUUGCGACGCAUCCGUUCAUCUUCUUCUGGGAACAAAGGUUUUAGAAAAGAGGGAAUUUGGGUGCCAGGUCUCUCCAGAUUUCACGAUAAUAUUAGAGAUAGCUAGCUCAUGGUAUUGGUCGUCUUUAGUAUUGCCUCUAGAUGACAUGGCAUGGGUUUCAAGAUGUAGUGGAUUUUGUUGUUGAACUUGUUCUAAGAAAAAAAAAGAACAGGAGUAUACGAGAACUUCAAAGGUCCACAUAUUUCACUCCCUCCAUUUUGUAAUAUAUUUGACACUUUUGAUUAUAUCAGACGAUAUACCAUGGAUGUUAUGCAAAAUAUACUAAAUUACCAUUCAGUUCACAAUACGAAGAUGUGUUCAAGAACAAAGAUGCUGGAACUUGUACUGCUCUUUUCAUCCGUAGAGCAACUCAUCUAUUGAUAGCACAAAAAGAAUAGCCCUCGGCAUCUUUGCUUCCGGUUGAUGGGUUGCUAUUACCAUGUCAAGGCUGUUAAGAAUUAGAAUAACCAGCACUCAUCAGGGUUGGGCAGUCCAUUGGAGAGAUCCGUGCAUUCUACUUCGAACGUGGAUUCCUGGUAAUGUUUGAUUAACUUAUGACCACCAUGUGGCGGCUCUUGAUGUACACAUGAUGUGAGUAACUGAGCUCGCAUUGUAUUUCCUUUAAGGGUGACGGUCCACAACCACGGCCGGUUUCAUCAUGGUGAGGAUGGAUACAGAGGACAGUGAUGAUGCAUCCAAGCUGUUGCCUCACCGCAUUCAACAGGAACAGAUACAGGCCGCCGUGGAUGGUCCCUUGCUUGCUGUCAGCAGUGGCACAGUCAGCGAGGAGAAAAUUGAAACCAUCAUGGAGUUGGAGCUUGAAUUCGUAAUCAUCGUCAUCCUUGUAGUUCAUGGUGGCAGCCUUGACCGUGGUGGUCACGGCAUGCCGAACAGAUGACAUGCCCCACGUUGCGCUGCAUGCAGAGGAAUAUGUAAUCGGUAUAUUUGUUCAGAUAAAUUGUACAUGAAUGAUCAAUAAUAUACUCUCGUGUGUUUGGAUUUCGGACACAAAACCAGGUAAUAGAGACUGAAGUUGCUUAAAAUAUUUGAAGGCAAAUUCAAUUUCUAUGCCAAAAAUGUUUUUUAUUUCUGUAAUCUUCUUUAAACAAGCUACUAAGCUACGCUUGAAAUGUCUUGAAAUAGAUACCAAGUGGAUGAAAAUUGCUUGAAAUAGAUACGAACUGGAUGGAAAAUUCCAAUACCAUAUGCUGCUACUAUUCUAGGCAUUUGUUUCUGGUAAUUGCUCCAUAGGAGAGAAAAGUAACAUAUAUGUAUUGUCGUCAGACUAUAAUUCUACGAAAUUCACUCUGGAUCAGUUGGGUGUGUCUUGUGGUUCUCAAUGUAAGAUAUGCUAAUUCGAUAAUAAAAUAAUAUCUGUAGUCCAGUGUCAAGAUGUGUCCAAAAUUGCUGAUCUUACAAGGAAUAAGGUUAUUGAGCUAUGAGAGACUUUAUAAAUUUUAGCAGACCAUCAGCCCACGCCUCAAUAGGAUGAUGAAGUUGGUGCUGUGGGCAGCAUGGAAAUUGCUUGGGUAAAAAUCAGGAACCCACGUUUACAAAUUGUUCGAUGGUUAGUGCUAGUUCAAGUUAUAUCCAGUGUGAAGGAAAACAUUAUGCUCCUGAUGGGGAUGAGGAGAGCAAAUGGAUUCUGGGUAUUUUUAGACGCUUAGACCAAAUGGCCCUUAAUAUGCAUACUGUUGGUUGUUCAGGGACCACGGAACUAGAAGCGGUGGAAUGUGCAACAAUAUCAUAACGUUAAUGAUAUGGAUGGCAGUAAAUUUUUGCACACAGAUACAGGCAUGUAACACAGAAGGUCAGCUAAGUACCAAAGAGUUACUGACAGCAGAAACAGAGUCAGCAAUAGCCUUCAAGAGUGUUAUGGUUGGGUGCAGAAGGUUGUGGGGCGAUCCAAAUAAGGCUCUGGAUUCACCCAUUCAGAAUCAAAAUAACAGAAAAAGGGAAAGUGAGGUCGGGUGCAGGAUAGGAGUGCCUUCAGAGGGUCUUCAAUUGACGGAUAUUGUGGUUCCGUUGGUUUCUAGCCCUGUGGGCAUGGUGAUUAUCAAGAGAAAAAGGUUUCUAGGUCACUUGAGAGGGUGGAGCCAGAAGAGGGUCUCAAGGCUGCUGAUGGUCACGGACACUCAUGUUCCAUAGAAGUUUCAAUCGGGGAUUCAGGUUUAGAUCCUUGCCUUAGUUGUGUGAAGUCAAAACGGGAUUGUGGACCAAAUUGAUUAAGGAGUACAAGACUUGUUCGAGGCAUUGAGACAACGACAAGGCUCAGGAACAGGUAAAAUCGGCAAUUUGGAGGGCAUCAAGAAGAGGUCAGGAUCCAUUUUCAUCAACCAGAAGACUACGCUACAUGUAUCCAAGAGAACAAAUUUGGAGUGUCACUCAUCUUCUGUUCUUGUGUGUCGAUGUACUGAGUACACAGAGCCAGUACAGUGCCCCUCUGCAGCUCGGAAUGUUGGCUCCGGAAGAUUAUGCUGCUUUUGGUACUCGGCAACUCGGAUAGCAAUGGGGAUUGGUUGCAGGACUCGUGGAUUGGAUCAAAGGAUGAGCUCUUCCGUGGAUUCAAUCGAUUACGGCUCGAUCCGACGCAUGGAUCGAUGAGUGCAUUCGAUUCCAUUGGUUAGGGAUCUAUCCGACGAAUGCGCAAGGAGUGCGCGUGCGUGUACCUGAAAGAUGGGGGGCUUCAGUGGGAGGAAGCACACGCCGCAGUCGAGGGCGUCGGUUUCCUCCACAGUCACGUCCCCGGCCGCCGCAGCUCCCUCUAGCUGCAUCCGUGACGGCGGCGGCGGCGGCAUUGCCGAAUGGGAGGAUCCGGAGCCCUUGCUCGUCUUGUGGACGCCAGCGCUUGCCUGAGCUGUGGUUGCCUUCUUCCGCACCGCUACGACAAGCAACCGCCGCGGCAACUCUCGCACUGGGAACGAUUCGCCGUCGCAAAGCCUCACCAUGACACCAUGGCUCGUCGACGGCUCUGCUCUGUGCUCUGGUGCCAAGCAGGCAAAUACUUCAAAAAUAAAAAGAAAUUUAUUUGAAAAAAAACAGAAAUGAACACGUAGAUUUCCUUGUCAAACACACAUACGUAUACAUUCUUUUUUUUUCAUAAAUGCGGUAUUCGAAAACUAAACGUAAUGGUUACUGUACCUCUCUUUUAUGGUCCGAAGUGCAUAUUCAUGGCUUAUUUUAUUAAGGGAUGCUAUUUUUUUUCGCAGUUCACAUAUUACUCUUUUGUAAAACACAACAUCCCUAUAAACCACAUUGGGUCACAAACCUGAAUGCAUAAAUUCUAUCAUAUAUACUCGGCGGAGGGAUAAAAAGAUAUAACCGCCUGGGUUAAGCACUUAUUUUUCAAACCAAUUAAUUAUAAAAUCAUUUACCAUGUUGUUAAAUACAAUAAAACUCCAACAAUACGAAUAAACUGCUGUUUUUCAACACAUCAAUUUCAAAUUAUAAAGUACAAAGAAAUUGUAGCAGAAUGAACAAAGGGUUAUUUUUUCUUGAGGAUUCCUGAGGCGGUGAACCUUUCAUAACAGAGCUCAUCUCUACUUUCGUUUCAUCCAAGAUUUGUUUGAACGAAAGUAGCGCUGACGGCCAAGGAACUACGGGGAACAAAACGAUACAGAAAUGAAACAGAGGAUUGAGGUGGGGGCGGCACCACGACGUGGAUCAAUGGGCCGCAGAAGCAGCUCCAACAUUAUAACCAAACAGCAAGGACUAACUUUUAUAAUGCAAAUAUACGCAGCAGACAGACAGAUCCAAGAGGAAUACGUGUAAGUCCAUUGUGCUGUCUUAGUUGUGCAAAGGUCUCAAGAAAAUCCAGCGUUGUUGUACACGCAACUGGGUGCAUAAAAUCUAUAAAUCUUUUUUGACUGAAUAUCCAACAAAUUUGGGACCGAGCACAUAUAAUAUAUAGUGCCAUCCAGCCUACAACCACAUUUAUUUGGGACCGCUGACCAGGCCAGGUCACCUCAUCAGCUGAUCAGUCUUCCAAUGGCUCCAGCACAUGAACGGCACCAUUGCUCAUGCCGAGUGCGAUCUGGUUAGGAUUCAGCAAGGGAUACGCAGAAACAGCCAUAGGAUACACGACUUCACCUCCGCUGGAUAUAAAGAUGCAACCAGAAGAUAGUACCAGUAAGAUAUUGUUGACUCAACAGAAACUGUUGGAGACGGCACAUACCUAGAUAUUGAAGAAGGUAUAUAGGCUGAAGGUGCAAUCCUGCAUCGUAACCUAAGAGAUUCCGCUUCGAAUAUUCCAAUUGCUCCAUCGCGGAAUCCCGCGUAGACCAAGAGACCGUCAGAUGUGUACACUGCACUUGAAAUUGGAGAAGGGAGUGCAUCUCUUGGGGACCACUGCAUUAUCAAGUAAUGGUGACUAAGCAUCAGUGUGAUGAUUGCAAUAUGUACAUUUUUGAUAUUAGGAUCAUCAUAAUAUUUAUAUCUAACACUUCUACCACAAUGUAAUACGGUAUGUCACCACUCAACGCAAGAUUGCAUAUAUGCUAAUAAUAAGUAAUAAAUGCAAAUACGUUGUUACAGAAAUGUUCAUGAAUAACUAACCGAGUGUAGGCAUUCAAGCUUCCCAUCAUAGAUCGCCAACUGGCUCUCAUGAACUACUAAAAGAUGUGUUUGGUCAUAGUGAAACUGCACCAUUGUAUCACCAACUAAAGCAGAACCAUUAGAUGGAGGUCGGAUGUAUCUUGAUUUCUUGUUCUCCCAAUUGCGAGUGCUCCAAACACAUAGCUGCAAAAUUUCAUAUAUUAAAAAAAACUAUACAAAAACAAGUAUAGUUUUAAUUCUCACGUCUAAAUUUCAUAUGGAGAAAAAAUAAUUGUCCUUGCAAUCAAGAUUCCAUCUUUAAAUUUCUUUGGACAAAAGAAUGGCCUAAAAUUGUACUGAUAUGAAAUAAGGAGGUUGAGGCUAUGCUCACAUGCACAAAGCUUACAUUUAACUCAGCCUUCAUUUUAAUAAACAACCCAAAAUAAUACUUGGUAGCAUUAGAAUUCACACCUGAGCAUCAGCGCCUGAAGAUACAAGCACGUUCAUCGAUUGCGAGAAUGUCAGUCCAGUUACCUUUUUCUGAUGGCCCAUAAGCACCCUUCGGACCUACGCAAUUCAAUCAUAAUAUGUCAAUAUUUGGCAUGUUGAUGUUAAAUAUAAAUAAACCUAAGGAAUAUGGUGUAAGGCAAGAAUACGGUGUAUUUGAUGUUCUGUAGCAAAGCACACACGAUCAACUAGUAAUUAAGUAAAAGCAAGAGGAGGUAUGUAGUCUGAAAUGACAGCGAGGUAUUUCACAAGAGGUACACGGAACUUCCUAUGAGUAUCAUAAUACACUGAAAGUGACAGUUUUAAUUUGCCCAAGGUGUCACCUAUACCCCUUAAUGAUAGCCAAUUUAUUUAGGUCAUGCAAAGCAGGGGACAACAGAGACUAACCAUUAAUACUCACCUCAUCAGUGCGGACAUUAUAGAUUUGAAUUGAAGAGUCCUCCAUCCCAAUAGCAAUGAUGUUAUUGUCUUGUGGGUAGAAUGCAAGGAAAGUCGAGGCAGGUGGAGGUGGCAUGAAAGUAGCCAUGGUCUGUGAGAGAUUCACAAAAUUAGUGAAGUCAAUGAAAGGCCAUGGCAUAAUCAUGAAACAAAAAUUAGUUUACAGAAGCUGUCAUACUAUGAGAGCUCAAUCAUGAAAGUAACCGCAUAUUGGUGACGCUGAAGAAAAGUACCUUGAAUGUCUUCGCGUUGAACAGCGAGAUUUUGCCACCAGAUGCAGAAAUUAUAUAGCACUCAAUUUUUGAUAGGGCAAUGCAGGCAGCUGCUGCUCCAGUGUUGGCUUCAAUUGUGUCGUUUGUCAUUAGAAUACCUUCUUCCGGUUGCCACAGUAGAGGUGCAACAGAUGCGGUGGGCUAACAAAAAGUUAUGACAGCUUUUAGAAAAUAACUAAAAAGAACUACAAUGUCAAAAUAAAAAUAAUUCAGUUCUCCCAUGCAUCUAACCCUGCCACGAGGAUUUUUUUCACUGGACCCCCAUUUCCACAGCUUAAGAAUAGCAUUGGAGCUGAGAGUCAAAAGAUAUUUCCCGUUAUUUGCAUACAGAAGACGGAGAACCUAUGAAGGAGAAAAGAAAUAAAAACAGUACUUUAUCAGAAUUUUGUACUAUACUGCUCUGAAUCUGACCAUAAUCUCUUUAAUACUGUAGCACAAAAUGAGUAUCACAUCAAAAGACAAUAUGAACAAUAAGGACAAAUAUAAAAAUUUGUGAAGUAAACACGUGCAAACAUCAAUUGAUAUUAUGACCUUCCCUGGCUUAAAUAGAAUAUGAGCUCAUAUGUUUGAGGUUGAUGUUGCAUGCUAAAUAUUUAUAAGUUAUAACUCAACAAGGGCAUACUAAUACCAAAAAAAUUAGAUGCAAAAAUUGGUGAACAUACUUUGGUGGAAGAUGCUUCUGGAUCUGGGGGAAUACGCAGUGCUCGAAUAUGUCCAGAGUCAACGAUGUCCGCCGACUUCCAGGCCUUCAGUACGAAGUCAGGGGUUCUGCUAACAUCCAUACGUGCCUACAUUUUGUUCGUUAUAGUUAGCACAUGAACAUAUUAAGCAGCAAAUAAACAAAGAAAAAGAUCGUGGAAGAGUAGCUGGCAACUCUUGUGUGUCAUGAGCUUUCUGCAAUAGAACUACAGUACACACUAUCCAAAUAGAACAAGGGCGUUCAUAAUGGUAUGGCUGGAGCAAAAGUGGGGUUAUUUUCCUUCAAUUUUUUACGGUCCUUAAGGAGUUAUCACACUUUUUUUUUCUAUUUAGAGGUGCUGAAAAACUUAAUCAAGCUCUUAUAGUAACAAACUGUAAUUAAUGAAGGGCAGCUAAUAAGUCAUUGGCUUUUCCCACUAGGCUGUCUAAAAAUCCUACAUUAUUUGUCGUACAGGUGGAGUACAAUUGAAGGGAAGAAGGAAUGAAGUCAAUUCUAGAAUAUUAGGGUAGCUAGACUUAACUUGCAGGUAGGAGCCAAUGACAGAACAGCCGAGAGAUUAGGAGUAGCUUGAUUUGACUCGCAGUUUAGCAACGAAUUAAUCCGAUAGAAAUUUAUUGAGCCCAUCAGGGCAGCUCCAGUGUGUGUUUUUUGAGGGUGCUAGAAAGAGAGAAAAAUAAUGUAGAGGGUGCAAUACACUGGAGAGAAUCUUGUAUGGGAUGUUAUCCUGGCACCUGGUGCUUAAUUUUGCACCUGGUUCCUAGAAUAAAAAAAUAUUUGGUGCCUCUGCAUUUAUUGGCCUGCUGCACUUCGGUUUAGACACUACAUGGAGCUGCACGUGGGGAUGGUGGGAGAGAAUGGGGUUUUUUUUCACUUCCCUACCUGCUAACAUGGGUCCCACUAGAAAUUGCUAUAUGCUGGAGCAAAAUUUACCAAGCUAGCACCUUAUGUGUGCGUCCUAUAUUAGGACUACCAAUGAUGCUAUACGUUGUGGAUGCCCUCACAAGGCAGAGGCAGGAGAGAAGAAUCAAUAAGAGAAGCAAUAAUUACUUAAAUGGAGCCAUCAGCUUUUGAAAACAUAAAAUUGCUCAGUCAAUCAAUGUGCAUGCAUGAUCAGUUCGUACCUCUUGGUAGAUUGAGAGCAUUUCUUCUUCCUGCCUCCGUAUUGUUUCAAGAUCGGGACGUUUGGGAUGGACGGCGGCCGUGCGCUCCAACGCAUCCUCCAUAUCCUCCACGUCCAAAAUACGGGCACCUUCACAGUUCACUCUCACGGUGACACUCUGGAGCGAUGUUCUUCCGAGGGUCUCGAAACCAAUAAGCAACCUGCCAAAACUAAGCAGGGCCGCAUCUUUUAGGAGCCGCACACUGACUUCAAACUCAAGGGAUUCAAGACUUGGCAUGAUAGUAGAUGCAACACUGCCGUUGCUGACGCAAUCGUGCAGAUCAAACCAGGAAGGUGCACCAUAGAUCUUCAAGAUUCUAACCUUUCGAAAGUAGUAGCCAACACCUUGAGCCGUACAAGAAAUCUUUAUUUUAUUUAAUUUGGUUUCAUCACACAAUAUCAGUGUGAGGCUACGGAGCUCUGGCAACCUCGCAAGGGUUUCCAUGUCCUGCCCUUUAACAGCUCGCACUCGCACAUGCAGAUAGGAGAGGUUUGGAGCAAGCGAUGCAUUUAUCCACUUAGGCAGUCUAGAGAACACGAGGCAGUUCAAAUACAGGUAUUGGAGAUGACGACAGGUGAUGAAUCCUUCAUGACUCGUCAUGCUCUUAACAACAUAUAGCGGUGAGUCAUCAAUAAACAUCAUCGGGAUAGUGUGCAGAUUGCCUAGGAACACCAUAUAGCUUAGAAUUCCGUUAUCACCAUCUGGCGGUACGCCCUCAAUGUGCAUCAUCCGGAUAUUGUGCAGAUUGCCUAGGGACUCCAGCAAAGCUCUCGCCAUGCUUUCAUCCCUGACAUGAAUUUGAGUCCAGAGCACCCUCAGGUCCCGCAGCAUGCCCAGCUCCUUCACAAACUGCAUUCUUCUAGCAUCAUCAUAAUCAUCAUCAGCAGGAGGCCAUCUCACCAGCUCUUGCAACGAGGUCAGUUUACCUAUCAAACCAUCUGGAAUCCUUGUUUCCGGACCAACACGCAGGCAAACCAGUUGCGUCAGCAGUCCCACCUCCUCGGGCAGCUCAUUUAUGCGGAAUUUCAAUAAAUCCAGUGUCUGCAGAAACUUGAGAUAUCUCACUUCCCUGGGCAGUUUGAUAUUAGUUUCUCCAACUGAUGAUGCUAACCGGAGGUACCUUAUGUGAAGCAUACUCCCAAGAUGAUUUAUCAUACCUUCGUGUAUUUUUUCUCCAUUGUAACAGCCUUGCAUAUCUAAUACACGUAAAACUGGAGUGUGUGGGCAUGAUGACGGACCAAAAUUGCACUCACUGGUAAUAAAGGAUCUUAUUUUAUCCACAGCAAUAUUAGCUAGCAGUUGACCGCCGCUGUGCUGUUCGAUCCGCUGCAGGGCUAUCCUGCGAGCAAUGCUUCCCGGAAGUUUCUGUCGCUCAUCAUCGCCAUCCAAUACCGUGACAAAAUUUUCUUGGCUCGACAAUGAGCGGACCAAAUCAAAAACCAUAUCAUGAACACGGCAACAAUCUACAUACCCUAAAAAUCUCUCUACUGGCUGGAUCAUGCUUCUGUUUAUCAAUUCAUUGAAGUACCUCUCCCCGAGCUCAAAUAAUCUGAUGCCUUCUGCUCGUUCCUCAUGGACGAAACCUUCAGCUACCCACAUCCAUAUCAAAUUAUUUUUCCCUAUCUCUUGAUCUUCUGAAAAUAUGCUUAGGUACAGUAAGCAAGGCUUUAGAUGUGAAGGCAGGUCAUAAUAGCUGAAAGACAAUAUCUUUCUAGUAUUAUCUACGUCAUCAUUGCCUCCCUGCCCAAAACCAAUAGAGUUGUAGACCUCAGACCAGUCCUCCCAUGAUUUACUGGCUAACAAACUGGCUAUUGUAAUGAUAGCUAAUGGCACACCACCACAUUUCUUCAAAAUUUUGUCACAUGCCUCAGCAGAUGGACUAUCAAAGUACUUCCCUUCACCAUCAGCUAUUCUUGCAUACAAUAAUUUUUCAGAGUUGUCACGAGAAAGUGGUUGUAUUUUGUAAGCUUCGUCUGCAUGUGCAGCCACUUCACAAAUACGAGUUGUUACGACUACUCUACUUCCACAAUUACUGUCCUGCAGAGCGCAUCUGAUUAGUUUCCAUGAUUCCUUAUCCCAUAUGUCGUCAAUAACCAUGAAACACCUAUACAUUCACAUGAUAGCACAAAGAGGCUUGAGAUAGUAAUUAAAAUUAUCGAGGAGGCAUAUAAAAGUAGGUGUGCCAACCAUCUGAAAAAAAAAGUAUGGUAUUACCAACCAUAAAAAGGCCGGCUUGCUAUAUGGAUCAUCCACAAGGAGAAAGUACGGACAAAAAAUGGGUAUACCAACUAAAGAAUUCAUGAAUCACCUCAUCUUUGAUGUAUAUUUAUUACGGACAUCAAAAUCUAACAGAUGUGGUUUCAUUCUUUUGAGAACAAUCAUAGCAAUUACAUUUCAUUUUUUAUUUAAAACAGAAUUAAUGUCCAUUACAACUACAUGUUCUUUCUUGAUGAAAAUAUAUACAAGUUUAUUACUUUGUUUAUUACCAAUUUAAAUUAUUCUGCAUCAAUUAAUGAUGAACGUAAUAAUUUCGAGAGUUGAGAUGGAAGAAAACAUGCUAGCCUCUUUCAGCCUUAUGUAAUAAAAUAAAUAAACUAUAAAGAAAUAUUUUUACAGCUAUUGAAAUUAGAAGCUGCUAUAUGUAAGUUGUGAUCAGCAUUGGAUCAGUGAUUAUACUCCCUCGUACCUCUUGUCCUUAACGAACUCCUUAAGUUUAUCCAUGAGCUGCUUUUCAUCGAGCACCAUCAAUUUUGAAUUUGCAUACUCUCCACUGUCAAGAUCAAUGAGAAUGUCUCUAAGAACUUUCUUCACGUCAGGGUUUCGACCCACAGGAACAAAAGCGCUGCGUUCGAAAUGUGAUUUAAGCUGGUCGUGGACAGCUUUGGCAAGAGUGGUCUUUCCUAGUCCUCCAAAUCCAAAGACAGAGACGAUCUUCAUCUUCUUAUCAGGCACAUCAACAUCACCCCCUAGGGACAGCAAGCUUAUGAGCUCAUCCCUUGACCCCUCGAUGCCAACAAGCUCCGUUGCCCUUUUGUAUAGAUUCAUGAUGCGAGGAUCGAUGGUCGUCGCAGCUGCAGGCUUGGCGACAAUAAUGCUGUCGAGUGAGUACCUUCGACGCCUUGCUGCCACCUCCUCGAGCUUCUCGGUGAUGUCCUGGAUCAGGCAAGAGAUGUUGCGGCGAGCCUUGCUUUUCUUGAACAGGCCGCCCACCUUCUUCCGGAGGCGCCUGAGCAUGUGUGGGUCGGCAGGCUCAUCGAUGCGCACCAGGAAGUUGUCGACGAUGUCCUCCAUGUCGUAGGAUGCCUCCCUGACAUCGCGCACCCAGAGCCUGACAAGCUCGUCGAGCUGCUCCGGUGGCACGUCGCCGAUCCUGCGGAGGACGGCGUGCACGGCCUCGAGCUCCUGCGAGAGGGACUGGAUCUUCUUCCUCACGCCCUUCUGCAGGCCGUACUCCUCCUUGAGCAGCUCGCCGAGUUUGGGAAGCAGGCUUCCCAUCGCCCCCAUCACCAGCUCCAUGCUGCAAGCAACAAGCUCAGCAGGUGGCUCCUGCGCACAGCAGCUUGGUAAGUGUGUGGAAGAUCCUAUCUGUGUUGGUACUUGGUAGCACUGUGAGCAGCUAGCAUGUACUUGACAGUGAGGAAAGCUCACCUAAUUCUGCCACCAGCUCUUGGCCGGGGGAUCCACAGUGAGUCAGUGAGGAAAGUGCUCCUGGCGUCUCCGUCCAGAUCCAGCUGGUAGGGGAGGGAAGGGGUCGGUCUCUGACUCGGGGUGUUCCAUGUGAACACGGAGUGGACAGCCCGUUAAUCCAUUUGCCGUUGAUUUAUCUACUCUGGAGGUGGCAUCCUCGAGACCUCGACUCUAUCGCAGAUUCCUUGUGCUUCCCACGUGACAGUGACAGAGUUCAACGGCAUCCUCGUUUGGAAGCAUUGGUCUGGAGAAGUAGGGAUGAAAUCAUAGAUUUUUUUUUGACACGGCUCAUGAAAUCAAAGAAUUGGAUGAUCACGGCUCAAGUCGGCCCAUCAGGGCUGGUAGGUGAGCUCGCAACUCACUUUCUUCAAGCACAGGCGCUGGUCGGCGGCACAGGCUCCUGCCCAGUAACGAAGUAGCCCAAUCGGUGAUUGGGCCUUCCUGCCCUUGCUGCUCACUAAAUCACCGAGCCUGUGCUCGUGGCACAGACACAGUAAAAGAACAGAGAUAGAAAUAGCUAUCAUCUGACAAACUGAUAAAGAAUUCGAUUUAUCUAACCUCAUUUCCCUCACUAAUUUAAUUAGCUAACAUGCCCUAAAUAUCUCUAUACCUGACGAGUUUGUAGGAUAAAAGUUAUGAAUUUCAUUUUGAUUACAUGCACACUAGCAACCGUCUCAAAAAAAUGAUAAAGCUGUGCAACAGAGAAUAAGCAAAAGAAAGAGAGAUAGACUACCACCAAUUUCUAAAACAAAUUCUCAAAGAUAAAUAAAUAUUUAAUUAAUUAUAGAGUGCUAAGGACAUACAAAUAAAAUACUAUGCAAACUGAUGAAACCUUGGAGAGAAGGUACUAAUAUAGACAAGACGUUUAUCAAACAUAAGCACUCUUUUAUUGUUUGUUCCUUUUUGCAUUAUCAGCUCACGGGCCCUAUGGGCGCGCCAAAGACGCGCCAGAUUUCUAGUUGUAAUUUAAUUUUUCCUAUUUCAACAUAUUAUUAUUUUGUAUUUUUGAAUAGAAGUCUUGAAACUUAGUGAUUUAUUGUGCUUUAUGUUCAACAGUUUCAGAUGAAAUUUAUGAGUCUAUGAUUAAUUGCACAACUCUAUGUUAUAUCUUUGUAUAUAUGAUAGAAUUAGUACUAUGUGAUGCCAAAAAAUUUAGAUUUAUACUGUCAAAAAAAAUUGUCCUUUAAAAUUUUGAAGACCUAUUCUCCAGAACCUGAGCCCGACCCUGGUCAGCGACUGGCGCACCACAUCCAGCAGGAACAGGCACUGCAUGUCGACCCAGGUGGUGGCGCCGCCAUGAUCGCCAUCGAGGCGGACGAAAUUGAUCAGCCGUCCUUGAGGCGGACGCUGGACAUCUCGCCGGUCCUGACCUUGGUGGAGCACGGCCAGCCGUGGACGCCGGCAAAGUGAUCCAGGAGCGCCUCCGUCGGGCCGAUGAAGCUGCAGGCGUCGCCGGGGCACCGGCAGGGCGCGUGCAGGCACAGCUGCCGGUGGGCCUGCUGCUCGUAGUAGGCCGGUCUGGCCGCGCAGCCGUAGGCCACGUUCGGGCACGCGACGCGGGCGGACUCCACCGGGCGCUCCAUGGCGUGGCACCGGCGGAAGCCACCGGUGGAGCCACGGCACACGUGGCACUUGCGGUUAUCCCUGAGCUUGUCACGGCACGACGAGCACACCACAUGCCCCACGUCACACCGCGGGCAUGGAGCAUCCACAUUAGCCCAGGCCCCAGGAUCAAUAUAUAUUCAGGAAAAUAUAUAUUCAGGAAAUGGAUCAGUUUUAUAUCAUUAUGUGCAAGAUUGUUUAGAGAUUGAAAAAAUUAGAUGUAUCCUUCACCUACACUGCACACUCUCAAAAGAUCCUUUUUUUCAAGCAAAAAAUGCUUAUGUUUGUACAAUUUUAGUAUUUAAAUAGAGAUACAAUUGUAGUAGGCAGUCGUAUACCUCCGAAACAUAGUGGAAGUUAUAUACCUAUUCCAGUGCUAAAUUCCGUCAUCAGACAGUUCUUGUCCGAUGGUUUCAACUUUUCCGUUACUUGUGGCUCUGGAGUGUCAAAAAUCUUUGCCUCUUGAAAAAAAAAGGUGCUAAAUUAUGCAACGAUCUGUCUGCCUACCCGCACUGGAAGCAAGCAUGAACAGGUGCGAGCAUGUAGGAUGAGAACUACCUGGGAAGAUGGGGGGCUUCAGCGGAAGGUAGCAGUCGAGGGCGUUCGUGUCCUCCACCGCCACGACGCCACCUGCCGGCGGCACUGACGACGACGGACCGGAGGCGGAGGUGAUCAUUCUUGCCCGCUUCCGCUCCUUCACUUGUGCUGCCGCUGCAAGCCUCGCGCGUAGGUGAUCACCAACGAGAACGUCUCCAUCCGCGCCCGCACACCCCUCCCUUCUCUCCCUCUCGCUCUCAGUUCUGUAUCGAAUGAAAUGGGGAUAUAUAGUUCCACGGGAAACGAUUUGAUUUUCGAAAUGCAAUUUGAAUUUCGUUUUGACGCGGGUUUUGUGGAUGGCUUCCUCCGCAGACAAAGGUAACUGCUGGUAACGAGCAAGAAUUGGUAGCAGCUUGGAAGGAAACCAAAGAUUAGUUGAACUGACAAGCACGCAAAAAACUGAAUUCUCUCUCUGGAUUUUUAUGUAUCCUAUUAUUGUUUCUUUGCCGUCAUGGAAGUCCAUGGGCUUUAAGUUUAUUUUAUUAAUCUUAUUGGCCUAUCCAUUUAGGGUGAAAACGAAAUGAAAAAACUUUAGCAAACUCAAAUGUCGUAGGAGAAAAUUUCUACAACAACAUUUGGAAGUUGGAACAAAUAAAUAGCAUAAGAAAUUCUGUGAGAAGGCACUUUCAUACAACUCGAGAUAAAAGACGUGUCAGACCGUAAAAUGCAAACUCUCGUGUAAUACACAACACAAGGCCCAUCUCCAACGGGCAUUUGCCAUGGUUCGUGAGCAUAACCCGCAAACAGGGGUGAGUUGAACUCGAGACAUCCAGGUCACAAAAAUCCACUUCUGUUUCUUAUGUUUUUUUUAAAAAAAUUAUGUUUCAAAUGUGCGAGUUUGUGCAAAUCCACAACGUUUCAACAAACAAUUUGUCUAUCACAAAUUUGUGCAAAGUGUUGCACACUUGCUCCAGGAGUCCAAGAGUUAUAUGUACAGAUUGUUUGCAAAAAAGGAGAGAGUUAAUUAGCAGAUUUCACGAAAAAUUUAGCUACAAGGAUCAACAAAAAGAUCAGUCCAGUCUUUGUAUGCCAAUAUACACAUCCAGAAACCAAACUAGUGGUGAGUGAUGACAGCCCAACAGCAGGUCCUAAUUAAGCAAAAGAAAAAACAACUGAUGCAGAAGUUGACCUGCAACUGAACAAGGCGGAUAACUAUAUCACCGAGUUCAAGGUCUCAAGAAGGGGAAAGAAAAUACUUCCUUGGAUUGGAGAAAACGUUCUAAGCUUUGAAGUCUCAAAAGGGGCUGUGCUGGAUGUGAUAGUUAGUUCUUAAUAAAUGCUUUCACUCGGAUAGCAUUCUGCUUGAUCAUCGGGGGUGUGAUCAGCAACGAGGAAGCUGAAGCCGUCAUAGAGGUCUGCGCUGCACAUCUCGAGGUUUUCUGCCCUGAUCUUCGUUGUGAAUGGCCAGUCGUUCACGCCGGUGAAAUGGUCCAAGAUUGCCUCCGACGAACCGACGAAGCCAUUGUCCUUACUGCCCGGGUAGGAGGACACAUCUCCCGGUGGCUUUGCUGGUCAUAGU
rnacentral:lncRNA from 1 species